rnacentral:lncRNA from 1 species
AUUAGUACCCACUAUUUAUAUUUGAAAAAAGCAACCCAAUUCAUUGCACCUGACCUCACCAACACUCUCUUUUCCCAAUUCGCACACAACCCUAAGACAGAAGUCACUUUCAAUCUGUGCUCCAGAAAUCUCCCUGAUCAUUCUCACCAUUUUGCUUCUCUCCGUCCGAUCAGGUAUAAACUAUUCCUCUUUCUCUCUGUCCGAUUAUGUAUAAAUUGUUGUCC